AUUGAACGCUGGCGGCAUGCCUUGCACAUGCAAGUCGAACGGCAGCACGGGAGCAAUCCUGGUGGCGAGUGGCGAACGGGUGAGUAAUAUAUCGGAACGUGCCCAGUCGUGGGGGAUAACGUAGCGAAAGCUACGCUAAUACCGCAUACGAUCUAUGGAUGAAAGCGGGGGAUCGCAAGACCUCGCGCGAUUGGAGCGGCCGAUAUCAGAUUAGGUAGUUGGUGAGGUAAAGGCUCACCAAGCCGACGAUCUGUAGCUGGUCUGAGAGGACGACCAGCCACACUGGGACUGAGACACGGCCCAGACUCCUACGGGAGGCAGCAGUGGGGAAUUUUGGGACAAUGGGCGCAAGCCUGAUCCAGCAAUGCCGCGUGCAGGAUGAAGGCC
rnacentral:rRNA from 1 species